UGCAGUCGACGGGAUCCCUGGCAGCUUGCUGUCGGGGUGAGAGUGGCGAACGGGUGAGUAAUGCGUGACCAACCUGCCCUGUGCACCGGAAUAGCUCCUGGAAACGGGUGGUAAUACCGGAUGCUCCGCUCCAUCGCAUGGUGGGGUGGGAAAUGCUUUUGCGGCAUGGGAUGGGGUCGCGUCCUAUCAGCUUGUUGGCGGGGUGAUGGCCCACCAAGGCGUUGACGGGUAGCCGGCCUGAGAGGGUGACCGGCCACAUUGGGACUGAGAUACGGCCCAGACUCCUACGGAGG
rnacentral:rRNA from 1 species